UGAAGGUCCAAAACCAAAAAUCUUCAAAUUGCAAGGACGAAAUCCAAAAAAAUAUUUUACAGGAGGUAAGACCGAAAAUGACUUAUAUUACAGAGGGACAAAACACUAUUAACCCAACUAUUUAUAUUAGUUACAUGCAAUGGUGAAUGAAAUGGUUGAAAUUCUAAAAUUUGAUUAAAAUAUGUUCCUUUAUAUCUAUCUGCAUAUUAAAUUCAAUGAAAUGAAAGGGUAGACACUUCAUCAAAUUCAAGAGAUAGAAAUCAAUUAACUAUAUAAAAUAACUCAAUUGUGAAAGGUUUGAUGAGAAAUAAUAAUAUAAUGUCAAAUGACUCAAAAUUUUGAAAGGUUGGAUAAGAUUUAAAAAUAUAAUGAAAUGUUGGUAAACAAGAAUUGCCAUCAACGGACACUCCAUCCUUAAUGUAGUUUGGUGGGACACUUUACCAAUAUUUGUUAGAGAGUAUUUCUUUUGAGAGAGAUUUGGGACGCCGAGCUUUCGUUACCUCUAGGCAUUAGUUGCUUUGUUAUUUUCUUUGCUUUCUUUUGUUUUUCCAUUUUGUUUCAAGGGUUUUGGUUUGGCCCCCUUAUUAUAAUCAUUUUUUUUCUCCCUUUUUUAAUAAAAUUAGCAGGCGAUAGAGGAUGGUGGGAGGUUGGAGGUGCCAACCUAGUUAUAAUAAAUAUUUUUUUGUUAGCUCUAUUGUAUGAGCUAAAGGGGCAAAGGUGAUACAUUGAAAAAAAGAAUGAAUUCUAAUUACAAACAAUAUUUUACAUGAGCUAUAUUGUGUGAGCCUAAGGGGAAAACAUGAUAUACAUUAAUGUACUUAAGAGACAUUUACAAAUUAUUUUAAUUUUAAUGGAGUUAUCGCAAAAAUAUUUUUAUUAAAAACUAUUUAAUUUAAGCUAUAUAGAAUGACACAUUUAUUGUAUAAAGUGACACCAAAAUUUAUAUGUUACUUGCAAAGGCGAAAAAAAUGGUUAAAAUUUUCAUGUUUGCUUAUACUAUGAUCCUUUUUAGUUUUCUAUUUCUUGUCGUAGCCAACAUUGAAGAGGAGUGUGUCACUGACGCCGAUUGUUAUAAAAUAUAUCCCGAAGCAAGUUUUCUACAUAUGUUUUGCAUUGAUGGUGUGUGUAAGACACCUAUACCUCUAUGAGGAUUGAGGUGAUUGCUUUCUUUUGUUGCUUUAGGACUAGCAUGGAUGCUUCCUCGUUUAAUUUCCACUUAGAGUCUAGUUAGGCUCUAAAGUAGGAGUGUCGCUCUUGAGAUCCUUAUAUUUUUGUAACUUUGACGGUUUAUGUUAUUUUUAUGAUGAGAAUAAUUGUAUUAUGGUGACAUGUUAUGUGGAGUGGCACAUGGAAUGUUGAAGAUUAUUCUAUGUCGUAAAGAAUUUUUAUGUUUGGUGAUU